GACGAACGCUGGCGGCGUGCCUAACACAUGCAAGUCGAACGGAAAGGCCCGGCUUUUGCGCGGUGCUCGAGUGGCGAACGGGGGAGUAACACGUGAGUAUCACCCCCCUGACUGAGGGAUAACUUCAGGAAACACGGGCUAUUACCCCGUAGGAGCUCUUGCUGCAUGUUGGGGGUUGGUAAGUUUCGGCGGUUGGGGAUGGACUCGCUGCUUAUCAGCCUGAUGGUGGGGUAGUGGCUUACCAAGGCUAUGACGGGUAGCCGGCCUGAGAGGGUGACCGGCCACAAUGGGACUGAGAUACGGCCCAGACUGCUACGGGAGGCAGCAGUGGAGAAUAUUGCACAGUGGGCGGAAGCCUGAUGUAGCAGCGCCGCGUGCGGGAUGACGGCCUUCGGGUUGUGAACAGCUUUCGCCUGUGCCGAAGCGUGAGUGACGGUAAUGGGUAAAGAAGCACCGGCUAACUACGUG
rnacentral:rRNA from 1 species